rnacentral:ncRNA from 1 species
AUAUAAGUAUUAUUUUGUUUUGGUUAAUAUUUUUAUUAAUAUUUUAUUUUACAUGUAAAUUUUUGUAUGAAUUAAUUUAAUUUUUAAAAAAUUAAAUUUAUUAAUUUAUUCGCAGUAAUUAAUAUUAAUUAAAAAAGAAAUUUUGUAUUAGUAAUAAUAUAUAGUAUUGGUAAAAUUUGUGCCAGCUACCGCGGUUAUACAAAUAAUGCAAAUAAAAAUUUUUAGUAUUAGUUAAAUUAAAAAAUAAUUAUAAUAUAAAUAUAAAUUUAUUAGGUGAAAUUUUUAAAUUUAUUUAUUUAUUAUUAAAAAAAAUAAUUUAAGCUAUAAACUUUUUAUAAUAAACUAGGAUUAGAUACCCUAUUAUUAAAAAUAAAUAUUUAAAUACUAAAGUAGUAUUAGUUAUAUUCUUAAAAUUUAAAAAAUUUGGCGGUGUUUUAGUCUAUUUAGAGGAAUCUGUCCUGUAAUUGAUAAUUCACAUUGAACCUUACUUAAAUUUGUUUAAUUUGUAUAUCGCCGUCAUCAGAAUAUAUUAUAAGAUAAAAAUUUUCUAAAAAUUUUAUUAAAUAAAAUGUCAGGUCAAGGUGCAGUUUAUGUUUAAGUAGAGAUGGAUUACAAUAAAUUUAUUUAAAUGAAUAAUUUUUUGAAAUAAAAGUUUGAAGGUGGAUUUAAUAGUAAUAUAAAAUAGAUUAUUUAUAUGAUUUUAGCUCUAAAACAUGUACAUAUCGCCCAUCGUUCUUAUUAUUAAAAUAAGAUAAGUUGUAACAUAGUAGAUGUACUGGAAAGUGUAUCUAGAAAGA